UACGAAGGGGGCUAGCGUUGUUCGGAAUUACUGGGCGUAAAGCGCACGUAGGCGGGUCGGUAAGUCAGGGGUGAAAUCCCGGAGCUCAACUCCGGAACUGCCUUUGAUACUGGCGAUCUUGAGAUCGGAAGAGGUGAGUGGAAUUCCCAGUGUAGAGGUGAAAUUCGUAGAUAUUGGGAAGAACACCAGUGGCGAAGGCGGCUCACUGGCGCGGAACUGACGCUGAGGCACGAAAGCGUGGGGAGCAAACAGG
rnacentral:rRNA from 1 species